rnacentral:rRNA from 1 species
GAUGAACGCUGGCGGCGUGCUUAACACAUGCAAGUCGAGCGAAGCGCCUUAUUUGAUUUUCUUCGGAACUGAAGAUUUGGUGACUGAGUGGCGGACGGGUGAGUAACGCGUGGGUAACCUGCCCUGUACAGGGGGAUAACAAUCAGAAAUGACUGCUAAUACCGCAUAAGACCACAGCACCGCAUGGUGCAGGGGUAAAAACUCCGGUGGUACAGGAUGGACCCGCGUCUGAUUAGCUGGUUGGUGAGGUAACGGCUCACCAAGGCGACGAUCAGUAGCCGGCUUGAGAGAGUGAACGGCCACAUUGGGACUGAGACACGGCCCAAACUCCUACGGGAGGCAGCAGUGGGGAAUAUUGCACAAUGGGGGGAACCCUGAUGCAGCGACGCCGCGUGAGUGAAGAAGUAUCUCGGUAUGUAAAGCUCUAUCAGCAGGGAAGAAAAUGACGGUACCUGACUAAGAAGCCCCGGCUAACUACGUGCCAGCAGCCGCGGUAAUACGUAGGGGGCAAGCGUUAUCCGGAAUUACUGGGUGUAAAGGGUGCGUAGGUGGUAUGGCAAGUCAGAAGUGAAAACCCAGGGCUUAACUCUGGGACUGCUUUUGAAACUGUCAGACUGGAGUGCAGGAGAGGUAAGCGGAAUUCCUAGUGUAGCGGUGAAAUGCGUAGAUAUUAGGAGGAGCAUCAGUGGCGAAGGCGGCUUACUGGACUGAAACUGACACUGAGG